AACGAACGCUGGCGGCAGGCUUAACACAUGCAAGUCGAACGCCCCGCAAGGGGAGUGGCAGACGGGUGAGUAACGCGUGGGAAUCUACCCAGUUCUACGGAACAACUGAGGGAAACUUCAGCUAAUACCGUAUACGCCCUACGGGGGAAAGAUUUAUCGGAAUUGGAUGAGCCCGCGUUGGAUUAGCUAGUUGGUGAGGUAACGGCUCACCAAGGCGACGAUCCAUAGCUGGUCUGAGAGGAUGAUCAGCCACACUGGGACUGAGACACGGCCCAGGCUCCUACGGGAGGCAGCAGUGGGGAAUAUUGGACAAUGGGCGCAAGCCUGAUCCAGCCAUGCCGCGUGAGUGAUGAAGGCCUUAGGGUUGUAAAGCUCUUUCACCGGUGAAGAUAAUGACGGUAACCGGAGAAGAAGCCCCGGCUAACUUCGUGCCAGCCGCCGCAGUAACAC
rnacentral:rRNA from 1 species